rnacentral:rRNA from 1 species
UACGGGGGGGGCAAGCGUUGUUCGGAAUUACUGGGCGUAAAGGGCUCGUAGGCGGCCAACUAAGUCAGACGUGAAAUCCCUCGGCUUAACCGGGGAACUGCGUCUGAUACUGGUUGGCUUGAAUCCGGGAGAGGGAUGUGGAAUUCCAGGUGUAGCGGUGAAAUGCGUAGAUAUCAGGAGGAACACCUGUGGUGUAGACGGCUCUCUGGACCGCAACUGACGCUGAGACACGAAAGCGUGGGUAGCAAACAGG